AGGCAAUUCAAUUCUAUCUUUGCAAUUAAACGGACCCUUAUAAUUUUAAAAUUUUUAGUUUUUACACAUAGGCUGGUUACCAUUAUUUCAAAUUUUAAUGGGCGAAAUAAUAUUUAUUUAAAGAAUGGAUGAUUGAAUAAAAAAAAAAGAAAAUUUUAUUUACUCGUAAUGUUAUUUUAUAGGAGAUUAUGUGGUUGAAAAUAAAAGAGUGAAAAAUAAAAUUUAAUUUAAUGGGGGCCAAAGAGAGGCUAAUAAACAAUUGGAUAAAGCCAUUUGUAUACUCGUUUGUUGACAUUAUUGUUGAAAUUACAAGUGGUAUCAAGUGUUGAUUGGAGAAAAACUAUCCAAUGGUAUAUUACCAUGUUACAGUGUAAAUAAUAAUGUAAAGAAUGAUGUAUACACGUAUGGUUCUAAAUAAUUUCGACAAAUGCCCCUUUUCAAAAUCCAAACUUAGCUUCUAAUUGGCGUAACAUUUUAUUAUUAUUAUUUUUUAUUUUUUUUGGACAAAACUAUCAUAUUAUUAUACAUAUGCUAGUAAAUUUUUCAAUAUAAAUAGUGAGAAGCGCGUGCCUUGUGCCAUAAUAAUGCAUUAUGAAUUAACCAAAAAAAUUAGCUAACAUGAAAUAAUCAAUUUUAUAGCAAUCAUAAAAAUAUUAUCUCUGUCUCAAUAUUACUGUCACAAUUAGAAAACAUUACUCAUAAACAAAACUUCCAGUCACUUAAGUACUGUUAUCAUCUCAAUUACAAGGAACAAAAAAACAUUCAUCGGAAUUUACAGUAACUCCGAUAAAUUUGAUACUCUUUUUCACUUUGCAUUUGAAGGUCUUCCUCUAUUUUUUAAAAAGGACAGGGCCAGAUGAUUAGGUUUUGAUGUCCUACUAAAGAGAU
rnacentral:sRNA from 1 species